rnacentral:rRNA from 1 species
GUGGGGAAUAUUGCACAAUGGACGGAAGUCUGAUGCAGCAACGCCGCGUGCGGGAUGACGGCCUUCGGGUUGUAAACCGCUUUCAGCCAUGACGAAGCGCAAGUGACGGUAGUGGCAGAAGAAGCACCGGCUAACUACGUGCCAGCAGCCGCGGUUAUACGUAGGGUGCGAGCGUUGUCCGGAUUUAUUGGGCGUAAAGAGCUUGUAGGCGGUUGAUUGCGUCGAAAGUGCAAACUCAGGGCUUAACUCUGAGCCUGCUUUCGAUACGGGUCGACUUGAGGAAUGUAGGGGAGAAUGGAAUUCCCGGUGGAGCGGUGGAAUGCGCAGAUAUCGGGAGGAACACCAGUGGCGAAGGCGGUUCUCUGGACCUUUCCUGACGCUGAGAAGCGAAAGCGUGGGGAGCAAACAGGCUUAGAUACCCGGGUAGUCC